UCCCUCGCAGGGAAACGUACUCUGUAAUAAUACCGCCUUCGUCGCGGCGGAGGCGUGAGGCUGGGCCGAGUCGUUGUAGUCCGCCGUCUCGACCCGCCCCCGCCCAGCAGCCCUCGUCUCGUCUCCAGAUCCAAAUCCUCCAAAUCGAGAUCACCCACCCACCGGCGAUCCAUCCAUGGAGCUGGAGGCGCCGUCGCCGGCGAGGUACCUGCUGGGCGCGGCGAUCAUGAUGGCCGGCGUCGUGCUCCCGCUCGCCUACAUGAUCUUCCGCAGCAAGCGCUCCUCCUCCUCCGCCGCGGCCUCCGUCUCCUCCAUCGCCUCCGCCGCCCCCUCCUCCUCCUUCUCCAAGCAGACGUAGGAACAAGGGCCUCUUCUGAUGGCCCGCGCGCUCGCGUUCCGUCUGGCGCUGUUCUAGCUGCUAGCGCUACCUCCAUCCAUUCUAGGAGUACAAGAAAAGAGAGGAGAUCCCACCUGUAUCCGCGGUCGGUCUCUGAUGCGGUAGCACAAGUAGUAAAUUCAGUUGUGUGAAUCUGUAUCCGUAGUGUGUCUUGUCUCUAAUCAGUUAAGCAAUUUUUUGGUGAUGAAUUGGAAUGAAAUGAAAGGGGAACAAACUGGUGUGUGCUGCUGCUCAGUCCAUGAGUUUAUUCUUCUUGUUUUUGUCAAUGCCUCUAGUACAACUUUGACUGAUACCGUUGUCAGCAUGACCCUGGGGAUGCCACCCUGAACGAUGAGCUUCCUUGUUAUCGGUCACAGCUGAUCCUGAUCAUAGUAGCAUUGUUGGCGUUGUUGCGUGGUGGAUAAA